rnacentral:rRNA from 1 species
UAAUACGUAGGUGGCUAGCGUUGUCCGGAUUUACUGGGCGUAAAGCGCGCGCAGGCGGUCGUUCAAGUCGAGUGUGAAAGCCCCCGGCUCAACUGGGGAGGGUCACUCGAUACUGAUCGACUUGAAGGCAGAAGAGGGAAGCGGAAUUCCCGGUGUAGUGGUGAAAUGCGUAGAUAUCGGGAGGAACACCAGUGGCGAAGGCGGCUUUCUGGUCUGUUCUUGACGCUGAGGCGCGAAAGCUAGGGUAGCAAACGGGAUUAGAUACCCCGGUAGUCCUAGCCGUAAACGAUGGACACUAGGUGUUGGCGGUAUCAACCCCGCCAGUGCCGAAGCUAACGCAUUAAGUGUCCCGCCUGGGGAGUACGGCCGCAAGGCUA